ACACAUUACAUGUAUCAGCAACAGCACAGACCUGAAGACAACAAUAUUGAGUUCUGGAGAAAAUUUGUGGCAGAGUUUUUUGCUCCACAUGCAAAAAAGAAGUGGUGUGUUUCUAUGUAUGGAAGUGGCAGGCAAACAACUGGAGUUUUUCCUCAGGACAUAUGGCACUGUGAAAUUUGCAAUCGCAAGCCAGGCCGUGGCUUUGAGGCAACUGUUGAGGUUCUUCCCAGGCUUUUUAAAAUCAAAUAUGAAAGUGGUACCUUGGAAGAACUUCUUUAUGUUGAUAUGCCACGUGAAUAUCAAAACUCAUCUGGUCAAAUUGUCUUGGACUAUGCAAAAGCAAUACAGGAAAGUGUUUUUGAGCAACUUCGUGUUGUUCGGGAUGGUCAGCUACGGAUAGUCUUCUCUCCAGACUUGAAGAUAUGCUCUUGGGAAUUUUGUGCACGGCGCCAUGAAGAGCUUAUCCCUCGAAGAUUGUUAAUACCACAGGUCAGUCAGCUUGGUGCUGCAGCUCAAAAAUACCAGGCUGCUUGUCAAAAUGCAUCAUCUAAUUUAUCCGUUCCAGAUUUGCAAAAUAAUUGUAACAUGUUUGUUGCAUCAGCUCGGCAACUUGCAAAAGCUUUGGAAGUGCCAUUGGUGAAUGAUUUAGGAUAUACAAAGAGAUAUGUGAGGUGCCUGCAGAUAUCUGAAGUGGUAAAUAGCAUGAAAGACUUGAUUGAUUACAGCCGUGAAACAGGGACUGGGCCUAUGGAGAGUUUGGCCAAGUUCCCUCGGAGGACAAGUGUAUCAUCUGGGUUUCAUAGUCAAGCUCAACAGCCUGAGGAACAACUACAACAGCAGCAGCAGCAAACAAUGCCCCAGAACUCAAACAGUGAUCAAAGCUCUGUACAAGCUGUUGGAAUGCAAAUUGCUGCUAGCAAUGGCGUGUCUACUGUAAAUAACUCCCUCAGUACGGUAUCUGUGUCUACUUCUGCCAGUGCUAUUGCUGGGACUUCUCCACCAAAAUUCUAUGAAUUCAAGACAACAAAAUUCAAUGAAUAACGCAAGCAGUCCCUAUGGAGGAAAUUCUGUUCAGAUUCCAUCUCCGGGUUCCUCUAGCACGGUUCCGCAGGCACAAUCUAAUCCUUCUGCUUUCCAAUCACCAACACCCUCUUCAUCUAAUAAUCCCACACAAGCAUCUCAUAGUGCCUUAACAGCUCCCAACCACAUUGGUCCUACAAACUCACCAGCAAAUAUUCCCUUGCAACAACCAGCUCUUUCUGGUGAGGCUGACCAUGGUGAUGCUCAAAGCUCUGUUCAGAAAAUCAUGCAUGAAAUGAUGAUGUCCAACCAACUUAAUGGCACAGGUGGUGUGGUUGGGGUUGGUUCUUUGGGGAAUGAAAUGAAAAAUGUUAAUGGGAUUUUGCCAAC
rnacentral:misc_RNA from 1 species